rnacentral:rRNA from 1 species
UCUAGUGAUGAUGGCAAAGAGGUCACACCCGUUCCCAUGCCGAACACGGAAGUUAAGCUCUUUAGCGCCGAUGGUAGUUGGGGGUUUCCCCCUGUGAGAGUAGGACGUUGCUAGAC